AAACCGGUCAUUAGCAUGAUACAGUCUUUGGAUAGCCUUUGAUGCUUGAGGUCAAAAUAUAGCGACCAGGCUGAAUAUCUUGCUGUGCCUCGACUAGCGCUUCAAUUUAUUGUUGAUGGAGCAUGUUCUGUUUAGAUCUUCCAUUUUCUGAUGCUUUAGGUAUGUCCUACUUUGCUACUCUGCAGUAACAUUUAAUGCGGCAAUCGCUUCAUCUAAAGCACAAGUUUAUGGCUCCCUAGUGAUUUACAAUAACUUAAAUAAUCGCAUGGCUUUGUGCCGGCGAUGGUUCAUUCAAAUUUCUGCCCUAUCAACUUUCGAUGGUAGGAUAGUGGCCUACCAUGGUUUCAACGGGUAGAGUGGUACU
rfam:Botryotinia fuckeliana T4 unplaced genomic scaffold BcT4_SuperContig_F_V3__V4, whole genome shotgun sequence.